rnacentral:rRNA from 1 species
UGGGCUCGCGUCCGAUUAGCUAGUUGGUGGGGUAAUGGCCUACCAAAGCAACGAUGGGUAGCCGGCCUGAGAGGGUGACCGGCCACACUGGGACUGAGACACGGCCCAGACUCCUACGGGAGGCAGCAGUGGGGAAUAUUGGGCAAUGGGGGAAACCCUGACCCAGCAACGCCGCGUGAGGGAAGAAGGUCUUCGGAUCGUAAACCUCUGUCCUUAGUGAAGAGAAGAAGACGGUAGCUAAGGAGGAAGCCCCGGCUAACUACGUGCCAGCAGCCGCGGUAAUACGUAGGGGGCGAGCGUUGUCCGGAAUUACUGGGCGUAAAGGGUGCGUAGGCGGCUGAUUAAGUCUGGAGUGAAAGUCCUGCUUUCAAGGUGGGAAUUGCAUUUGAAACUGAAGGGCUCGAGUGCAAGAGAGGGAAGUGGAAUUCCUAGUGUAGCGGUGAAAUGCGUAGAUAUUAGGAGGAACACCAGUGGCGAAGGCGACUUUCUGGACUGUAACUGACGCUGAGGCACGAAAGCGUGGGGAGCAAACAGGAUUAGAUACCCUGGUAGUCCACGCCGUAAACUAUGAUUACUAGUUGUUGGCGAUACAUUGCCUGCAGUGCCGAAGCUAACGCAUUAAGUACUCCGCCUGGGGAGUACGGUCGCAAGACUGAAACUCAAAGGAAUUGACGGGGGCCCGCACAAGCGGAGGAGCAUGUGGUUUAAUUCGAUGAUACGCGAGGAACCUUACCUGGGCUCGAACGUAUAGGGAAUUAUGCAAAGGUAUAAGCCAGCAAUGGCCGUAUACGAGGUGCUGCAUGGUUGUCGUCAGCUCGUGCCGUGAGGUGUUAGGUUAAGUCCUGCAACGAGCGCAACCCUUACCUUUAGUUGCCAGCAUGUAAUGAUGGGGACUCUAAAGGAACUGCCUACGCAAGUAGUGAGGAAGGUGGGGAUGACGUCAAAUCAGCACGGCCCUUAUGUCCAGGGCGACACACGUGCUACAAUGGCCGAUACAAAGGGCAGCAACACAGCGAUGUGAAGCCAAUCCCAAAAAUCGGUCUCAGUUCGGAUCAGAGUCUGCAACUCGACUCCGUGAAGUCGGAUUCGCUAGUAAUCGCGCAUCAGCCAUGGCGCGGUGAAUACGUUCCCGGGCCUUGUACACACCGCCCGUCA